rnacentral:rRNA from 1 species
UACGUAGGGUGCAAGCGUUGUCCGGAAUUAUUGGGCGUAAAGAGCUUGUAGGCGGUUUGUCGCGUCUGCUGUGAAAUUUCGGGGCUCAACCCCGAACUUGCAGUGGGUACGGGCGGACUAGAGUGUGGUAGGGGAGACUGGAAUUCCUGGUGUAGCGGUGAAAUGCGCAGAUAUCAGGAGGAACACCGGUGGCGAAGGCGGGUCUCUGGGCAACAACUGACGCUGAGGAGCGAAAGCGUGGGGAGCGAACAGG